AACGCACCUUGCGCUCCUUGGUAUUCCGAGGAGCAUGCCUGUUUGAGUGUCAUUAAAUUCUCAACCUUAACAACUUUGUGUUGUCUAGAUUGGAAGUGGGGGCCUUUUGUGUGGAAUCCAAGUCCUCACUCCCCUUAAAUGUAUUAGCUGGGAAUGCCUCUGCAUAUCUGACUAUCAGUGUGAUAAUUAUCUAUGCUGUAGUUGUUGCAUGAGGGUAUCUGCUUCAUCAAUCGUCACAAGACAAUUAUUGACCAUCUUGACCUCAAAUCAGGUAGGACUACCCGCUGAACUUAA
rnacentral:misc_RNA from 1 species